AAUUGUACAUGAAUGUAUAAGGAUGCCAAGGAAAUGCCAUGUUAUGUAACAUUGUGUUUCAAUUGCUUAAAUUGUUGUAAUAUCAAGUUAAGGUAAUUUUUAUACGAACUUUCUAAGAAUUCAAAUUGCUUACCUGUUGCUUGCCUUUUCCUUGUAUAUUGUUGGUUUGCAAAACGUGUUAAUUGGAUCACCUCAAAGCUCAC
rnacentral:lncRNA from 1 species